rnacentral:lncRNA from 1 species
ACUGCAGAGUAGUCUUCAUAGUCACGAUGCGCUGUGCUGAGGCUGCUGCUUAGAAAGGUGGGGCUUCUUCUCCCUGCUUACCCACGUGUCUGGCUGAUCUCUCAGCUCAGCUGCAGGAGCUUGUUGGUCCUGAAGAGUGGUCUGUCUUUAUUUGCUGAUACUUAAACUUUCCUUCUUGAAAACUGAAUCACUGCUAUUUGGUGCACAUUUUCACCCAGUCUGAGUGCCACCUUACAUCUUUCAUUCUGCAUCUUGAGAAUUCUGUUUUACAGUCAGAGGUGACAACUAGAUCAGAGCAUUGACUGCUCCCAAUUUCGCUUUUACAAAAGAGAGCAAAGGAAGUGGUGAUGUUAGGUUUGGGGGUGAUGAUAAAGUCAGAGAGGGGAACUCCCACUGAAGCCCACAUUAUGAAAAGAGCUGAACCAACUUGUACUCUUGAUCUCCCCUUAAAAGCUGGUUUUGUACCUGAAUGGAGAGAAGUGCAGAUAUUAGAGACCUGGCUGAUGUCUGGUGCUUCAUUGCCCUGAAUAGACAGAAAAAUGCAGACCCUUGGGAAGCAAAGUGCUUGACAGAGCUGAAAGUGAACAGCAGAGGCUGGGAGGAAGCAGGACCAAACAAAUCCAGAAAUCCUCCAAGGCUGUAGCCCUAGGCCCAGCAGGUGGUGGUCAGGACAAAGUAGGAGCAUGUACAGUGUUGAGAUCAGAGUCUUGGGAAAGCACCUGUUACAGGUCAGAGUGAAGGAUGAUCCCAGAAACAAGUCAGACAAGAGGCAGGUUUGUCCAAUAGAACAUAAAACUGUGACGCUUGAAGAUAAACGUGACCUUGACCAGCCCUGAGGAACUUCAGGACUGAAUCCUGCAGUAGAAGCAAGAACAGGCUAUUGGGAGACUCUGGUCCUCAACUGCACAAAGAAGGGCCCAUAUCCUCAACUCUGCCACAGACCUCUUUGAUUCCAGUUGGAAGCCUGGAGAUUUCACUGCUGCUGAGGAGGGUUCCAGGGACUGGGAAACCUGAGCUGUGAGCUGAGCUUGGGUGAUCUGUUUCCAUCUGUGGUCUGGUGCUGAUGGUUUCCAAGGCAGGAAUCAAGUCAGUCCUUGAAGAGCUACAACAGAGCAAAAGUGCAGGUAAACAAAGCAACACGAAGGCUAAAUAAAAGUCAUUUCCCCAAGCAAAAUAAGGGUAGGGACCUUCAGAUGGACAGAUUAGCCUGGAUUAAGCAGAUGGAGAAGCCGAGGAUCAAGGAUCGGGCCAGGAGCCAAGGAAUACUGCCACCUCUAGAAGUUGGGAACGGCCCUCAGCUUACAGCCACUAAGAAAAGGGGGAUUUUGGCCCUCUAGCUGCAAGGAAUCUAAUUCCACUUGAAUUAACAAGGAACAUCCAGGCAGGAAUGUAGCCCUGACAACACCCUAAUUUAGGCCAGUCAGGCCCGGACAGACUUCUGACCCACGGAAUUCUAAAAUAAUUUGUGUUUCUUAAACCAUCAAAUUUGUUGUAAUUUGUUAUGGUAGCAACAGGAAUCAAAUAUACCUCUCUACUUUUACAAGAUAUUGUUGUCUGCAGCCUGUUUGAAGUCGGUGACUAAACACAGCUGGUUACUAUGGCAGGCCCAUUCUGAAGAGUUGCAGGACACCCUCGGGAGUACUUUGGUUUGAAGCCUCCUCAUCACCUCGGCUGCCGUUUCUGGGAUCUGGGUUGCAGUCUGAGGCUCAUUUUUCCAAUUCCCAAUACUUCCUACUGAUGAUAUUCUUGAGAGUCAGGCUUUAUCAAGAGAGAAAAAGGACUUUAAAAUUUUCAAACUCCUUUUUAAAUAUCAGAGAUUUUUUUGGCCUACUUUGAUUACAGGUCCUUACUUAUAAGUCUCUCCUUCCUAGGGAGAAAAUAGAAAGCUUUAAGAGACAGAUUACACUUUACCUGACAUUCAUUUUUGCAUGCCUUGUUAAACAUGAAAGAAUGUGUUAAGGCCAUUUUUUAUUGUUUAAUUUGUUGUUUUGACUUUGGGUGUGUGUGUUUGUGUCAAUUAUUUUUUAAUCUACUAGAACAUUCAUUAUCCUUUUUAUUUUGGAAAACAAGGGUGAGAAAGGUUACGUGAUCUGGAGGUAAAAAUACACCAUUAUGUAAAGUUGAAGUGUCAUCCCCUGAAUCCACAUUGCACAUCUAUAAAGUAGAAGAACUUGUCUUACUCCAGUGUUUAGUAUUCGUUAGGUUAAUGUUUUUCAAACAAGCUUGAUAGUAAGAAGCAUUUGAGACUUUUGUUUAAAAUACAUCCCCCUCUACCACUGAAAGUUUAAUUUGGUAAGUUUGUUUGGACAUACAGAUUCUGUAUUUCUAAGAAAUAUUUAGAUGGUUUUUAUCAGACUUGGAGGUCCUCUUAUUGAAAAUAAAAAAGUAGACAUGCUCACGAUGAAGUUUACCUUUUCUUUCUAUUCAUCUAUUUUAAAAAAUAUUUAUGAAAAAUGCUUGCCUGCUGCUUAGCUUGAUUUAAGAGAUAAACUGAUCAGACAGAAUGUCAAGCCAGCCAGCAUCUCCUGGUCUACACCAAAGCCUUUCCUACUUCUUUCAAACAGUGAAGGCACCAGGACAGAGU